GAUGAACGCUAGCUACAGGCUUAACACAUGCAAGUCGAGGGGUAACGAGAGGGAAGCUUGCUUUCCUUGUCGACGACCGGCGGAUGGGUGAGUAACGCGUACCCAACCUGCCCUUCAGUAAGGGAUAGCCUUUCGAAAGAAAGAAUAAUACCUUAUGUGAUCGUUUGAUGACAUCAGACGACGAUCAACGAUUUAUCGCUGAAGGAUGGGGAUGCGUCCCAUUAGGCAGUAGGCGGGGUAACGGCCCACCUAACCUACGAUGGGUAGGGGUUCUGAGAGGAAGGUCCCCCACAUUGGAACUGAGACACGGUCCAAACUACUACGGGAGGCAGCAGUGAGGAAUAUUGGUCAAUGGCCGUAAGGCUGAACCAGCCAAGUAGCGUGCAGGAUGACGGCCCUAUGGGUUGUAAACUGCUUUUAAACGGGGAUAAAGUGAGCCACGUGUGGUUUAUUGCAGGUACCGUUUGAAUAAGGACCGGCUAAUUCCGUGCCAGCCGCCGCGGUAA
rnacentral:rRNA from 1 species